AGAGAGGCAACAUCAUCUUCUCCAUUCAUACACUUUACCAUUAUUUUUCAUUUCAUACACAAAAGACAAUUAAUCAUACACUCAUACAACAUCCUCCAUCGAGAAUCCAUAAAAACACACUCAAUAUAUAUCCUAUAGGGACGAUUUCACAGAAGAGGGGAGGCCAUUGUUGAGGACUUCAUUUUUCUUAUUCUUUUUCUGCUGCUACACACACGUGAGAGAGACAAAAAUAGCGAGAGAGAUAAGAAAUAGGGGAGAGAGAUCGAAAGGGGGAAAACAGUUUUUUCGAUGACAAGGUCACUGGAAUAGUGGCUUAAUCACAAAUUUUGGCCAUCCUUCACCAAAAUCUAUCAAAAAACAGUCCUUUCAUCGUUGGCGGAACUCCGACGAAACUAGUAGCUCUAUCCCGUCCCCAAAAACGUUGAAAUAACAACAAAAAAAUAACCACUUAUUGAUCGAACCCAAUUCCCUUUCUUCCAUUUUCUUUGAGCCCAAAACCCCACCCCUUCGUUUUGGUCUUCGCCGAAACUGAACGGAGUAGAAACGGGGUGCAUGAAUCAGUACGGGUCUCUCGUUAUUUCUAGAUUUUUGUUUUAGGUCGGAGAAAACAGAGUGCGGGAUGAGAUUCGGGAAUCUGAUUUUGAUAUUUGAGGUUUGAUUCGAGGUCGAAAUCUGAUUUGGAAUUCGUGUUGAGGUUCGGUUCAACGUUACGGUGCGGAUUUCAUCUCGUUUAAUCAAAUAAUACUUGAAAGCAGCAUUGAGGUCCAAUUCUUUCUUCUCUUCCUUUUAAUUCUUAUGUGAUUGCGAACUUGAUUCGAUGACGUGAAUCGUAGGUGAUUGUGAACUUGAUUUGAUGAUGUGAAUCGUUGGUGAUUAUGUUGGAUUUUGUUGAGGUUGUGAUCAUGUGCUUGACGAUAUGAUUUCGGCAAUAUGUGGUAUGAAUUUGAGUAAUAUUGAUGGUGUGAUUGAUAAAAAUGAAGCUAGAUGGGGUGGAAUUGAGAAAUUGACAAAAAUAGGUGAAUAUAGAUAAAUUUUGAUUAAUUGUUGUUUUGUUUAAUUCGGAAUAAGCAUAAAUAUUGUUGGAACGCGAUAGAAUUAUGAUAUGUUGAAAUGGAUAGGCAAAUGUAGGUUCGGGUAGGCAAAAUUUUUUUGAAUAAGUGUUUUGUUGAAUGUUUUAAUGGGGAAUGUGUGUUGAAUGUUUUCUAGUUUAUCGUACUUGAUUCAAGUGUAUUCAUUUGGCCGGGGAUGCCCCGAGGUUUCAUGUAUUUAGUCACCGAGAAAUGCCCCGACGUAUUAUGUCUUCGACGGAGGAUCGUGAUCAAGGCCCGAGGCAUCGGGUAAAGCAUUGGAGCAUAGUUUUGGAUUAGUGUAAGUUAGAAUAGGAUUUAUAUUUUCGCAUUUUUCUAUUUGGGACUGUAUAAUUGGACUAGACGUUAUAUUUUGGAUUUGAUUGUUUUGUUUGUUUGAUUGAUUGUUUUGAUGUGUUUUUUCUAUGGUUUAUACAUGCAUAGUGUCAAAUUAGUCGAUACGCUCCACCAAGCGACCGUGGUCGAACCACGGGAUCGAGGGGUGCCUAACACCUUCCCCUCGGUCAACAGAAUUCCUUAGCCGGAAUCUCUGUUCGCGGAUUAGUUUUAGAGUCAAACUGUUUUGAAAAGGAUCUUUCAAAGUGACUUGGCACACCGGAUUAUAUCAAGUGGUGACUCUGAAUAAAAAUAUAAAUCUUUUUUCAAAAUAAAUUUUCAGUCUUUUGUCACUUUAAUAAUAAAAACCCUUUCGAACCUUAAAAUUUAAUCUUUUCGGAUUGAAAAAGAGGUGUGACAAAUACCUCCAAAAAAUACCAUCAACCAACUUCACAUCACAAUCACCACCACCGCUACCAAUCGCCACUGUUAUAACAAUCACUGCAAUACCAACCAUCUUUGUCAUCACAACUAUCACCACCAACAUUACUAGUCACGAACAUUAAUCAUUACCACUACCAACAGUACAAAUCAUCUCCACUUUCACUAGCAAACAUAAGAAAAAUAUUUCAAUCAAAUAAUAAUUUUGUUGUAUUAACUCAAAUAUUUUUUUAAUGUAUAAUUAAUUUUUUGUUUGAAUUAUAUUUUUUAUUAUAUGUACAAAUUAAUAAAUUUUACACAUUUAGAUAUUGAAAAAUAA
rnacentral:lncRNA from 1 species